GUUAAAAAGCUCGUAGUUUGAUUUCUGUUGUGGGAUGCCGGCCGGGUUCUCUGAACUUGUAGCUAGGUUAUCUUGCAGCAUCUUGGCGCAAAUCUCACUGGCACUCAUUUGUUGGUGUUGACGACCGCCUCGUUUACUUUGAGAAAAUUAGAGUGUUCAAAGCAGGCUAUAGCUUUUGAAUAUAUUAGCAUGGAAUAAUAUUAUAGGACUUUGCGUUCUAUUUUGUUGGUUGUUCGAGGACGCAAGUAAUGAUUGAUAGGGACAGUUGGGGGCAUCAGUAUUCUGAAGCGAGAGGUGAAAUUCUUGGACCUUCGGAAGACUAACAACUGCGAAAGCAUUUGCCUAGGAUGUUCUCUUUAAUCAAGAACGAAGGUUGGGGGAUCGAAGACGAUCAGAUACCGUCGUAGUCUCAACUAUAAACUAUGCCAGCUAGGGAUGGGUUGAUGU
rnacentral:rRNA from 1 species